AUUGAACGCUGGCGGCAGGCUUAACACAUGCAAGUCGAACGAAGUGGCGAACGGGUGAGUAACGCGUAAUCAACCUGCCCUUCAGAGGGGGACAACAGUUGGAAACGACUGCUAAUACCGCAUAAUGAAGGAGGGGAUUGCGGCUGAUUAGCUAGUUGGAGGGGUAACGGCCCACCAAGGAGAUGAUCAGUAGCCGGUCUGAUAGGAUGAACGGCGACAUUGGGACUGAGACACUGCCCAGACUCCUACGGGAGGCAGCAGUGGGGAAUCGUCCGCAAUGGACGAAAGUCUGACGGAGCAACGCCGCGUGAGUGAUGACGGCCUUCGGGUUGUAAAGCUCUGUUAAUCGGGACGCGGUACCGGAAUAGAAAGCCACGGCUAACUACGUGCCAGCCGCCGCGGUAAUAC
rnacentral:rRNA from 1 species